rnacentral:tRNA from 1 species
GGGGCACUGGCCAAACUGGCUAAGGCACCGGUCUCCAAAACCGGCGAUUCCAGGUUCGAGUCCUGGGUGCCCCGCUA